AUUGGUUUUACGUUACAAAGCUUUAAGAUUUAUUAUGAUUGUAAAACUCUUCGUUCUCUAAACUCAGGAUGCGGAUGCCGUGGGAAAACCGGCCGACGCGACAUAGAGCGACGCAGCGCUAAGAGUGUAUGGUAAAUAUAGAUAAGAAACUUGUCCUAACAAAACAGUCUAUUUUUAUUGUGUUCAUAAUUGGCGGUUUUAACACAUCAUGCAAUGGAGGGUUUACAUUAUUUGAGUAUAUAUUGUUACAGU